UCUUGGAUGUAGCCCUGCGUGCCGUGUAAAUGCCCUUUUCUAUGGGCUCCACGAUGCGAAAGAGGUUGAGAGGCUCGUAUUUAGGUGAAGCUUGCCAAAGGUUGACCUCUAUGAUUAUUCAGUAAGGAUUAAGGAUGUAAUAAGUUCUUCAUCAUUUGAUCCUCGUGAAGAUAAACAAUGAUGUCAGAAUUGAAUGAAUGUCUCUGCUCCUGAAAUCAAGCCCACGGCAUUCCAGGAAGGAAAGAAAAAAAAAAAAAAAAAAGAAAGAAAGAAAACACGGCAUCUGUAGAUAAACACGUUUGGAGAGAUUGCAGGUAGUUCAGCAUGACUAAAAUGAAGUGGAAAGAUCUGAGAAGAGUAAAAAAUAAAAUGAGGUUGUGGGAUUCUGGAAAACUUCGCUGAGGUUUGGUGGUUUGAAGAGUGGAGAUGUAAAUGACAAAAGGUAGAGGACUUCUAACUUGAAGCCCCACCCUCCAACUUCAGCUACUAGACGAUGCACUCUAACAAAGGUGCUGAGCAAAUCAGUAACAAAGAAGACAAGAAUCCAGGAAACUGGGGAAAUCACACUGGAGAAAGGGAAGACAAUUCCUAGGAUGAAGUAAAGGCAACACUGGCAACUUUGCGGGAGCCCAAAAGAACAACUAAUCCCUACUUGAUGCAGGGGAUGGAGAAAUUCCAGAAAGAUGUCACCCGAUUCCCCCCAGAUGAAAUCAGUGGAUCACCUGAGGUGGUUUUAAAGGAGUUUUCAACUCUUUUUGAAGAGUUUGGUAAAAAUUGGCAGUAGUAGGGGAAAAAAUGGUGAGGGACAAUGACUAAUUCCAGGGAAAAAUAAACAUACAGAAAAGGAAAUGUAAUAUUCUAUAGACUAUUGGCUCACUCAUGAAUAAUACAUACAUGGUAAUAAUAAUGUAAACACAGAAUGUUCAUAUGUCUAAAACUUGUGAUAGAAGCAUGUUGAGAAAGGAAAGGAGGAAAGAAAGGACAGGAACAGAUGGGGAGAGAGCGCUAAAUUCAUAGCUUCCAUAGUUGUAAGCUAGAUAACACCCAAGGUCACAAAGAAAAAGCAAAUCACUUAGAAAUAUGGAGGGAACUCUCAG